GACGAACGCUGGCGGCGUGCCUAAUACAUGCAAGUCGAGCGGACUGAUUAAGAGCUUGCUCUUAUGACGUUAGCGGCGGACGGGUGAGUAACACGUGGGCAACCUGCCCUGUAGAUCGGGAUAACACCGAGAAAUCGGUGCUAAUACCGGGUAAUAUCUGAGAUCACAUGAUCUUAGGUUAAAAGAUGGCUCCGGCUAUCACUACAGGAUGGGCCCGCGGCGCAUUAGCUAGUUGGUAAGGUAAUGGCUUACCAAGGCGACGAUGCGUAGCCGACCUGAGAGAGUGAUCGGCCACACAGGGACUGAGACACGGCCCAGACUCCUACGGGAGGCAGCAGUAGGGAAUCUUCCGCAAUGGACGAAAGUCUGACGGAGCAACGCCGCGUGAGUGAUGAAGGGUUUCGGCUCGUAAAGCUCUGUUGUUAGGGAAGAAACAGUACCGAACGAACUAGGUCGGUACCUUGACGGUACCUAACCAGAAAGCCACGGCUAACUACGUG
rnacentral:rRNA from 1 species